rnacentral:rRNA from 1 species
ACGCAAGUCUGAUGGAGCAACGCCGCGUGAGUGAAGAAGGGUUUCGGCUCGUAAAGCUCUGUUGGUAGUGAAGAAAGAUAGAGGUAGUAACUGGCCUUUAUUUGACGGUAAUUACUUAGAAAGUCACGGCUAACUACGUGCCAGCAGCCGCGGUAAUACGUAGGUGGCAAGCGUUGUCCGGAUUUAUUGGGCGUAAAGCGAGUGCAGGCGGUUCAAUAAGUCUGAUGUGAAAGCCUUCGGCUCAACCGGAGAAUUGCAUCAGAAACUGUUGAACUUGAGUGCAGAAGAGGAGAGUGGAACUCCAUGUGUAGCGGUGGAAUGCGUAGAUAUAUGGAAGAACACCAGUGGCGAAGGCGGCUCUCUGGUCUGCAACUGACGCUGAGGCUCGAAAGCAUGGGUAGCGAACAGGAUUAGAUACCCUGGUAGUCCAUGCCGUAAACGAUGAGUGCUAAGUGUUGGGAGGUUUCCGCCUCUCAGUGCUGCAGCUAACGCAUUAAGCACUCCGCCUGGGGAGUACGACCGCAAGGUUGAAACUCAAAGGAAUUGACGGGGGCCCGCACAAGCGGUGGAGCAUGUGGUUUAAUUCGAAGCAACGCGAAGAGCCUUACCAGGUCUUGACAUCCAGUGCAAACCUAAGAGAUUAGGUGUCCCUUCGGGGACGCUGAGACAGGUGGUGCAUGGC